rnacentral:lncRNA from 1 species
UUGGAACACAUGAGAUCUGACUGGACCGAGAUUUGAUAUGGAUAUCGAAUAAUGGGCCUCAUUAAUUCUCAGCACAUGGGCUGCAAAUGACAUAUCAAAAGUUGAACCCAACUUCACGUGACAUGAUUGAUAUUUGAUUUAUGCAACAUGGGAUUAGGUGGGCUGCACAUGGGCUGAUAUACAUAGACCUUAAGAAUUGUUCAUGGAUGGGGCCGGCUUGCAUUGCUGACAGGUAUUCUCGUGGCCCAAUCAACUAUGUUGUUUGUCGGCUUAACAAUAACAACUGGACAAGAUAUCGGCCCAAUAAAAUGAACCAACAAUCCCUGUUGUCGGCUAAGAUUGUCACAUGGUAUAUAAACAUGGGAUUAGGUGGGCUGCACAUGGGCUGAUAUACAUAGACCUUAAGAAUUGUUCAUGGAUGGGGCCGGCUUGCAUUGCUGACAGGUAUUCUCGUGGCCCAAUCAACUAUGUUGUUUGUCGGCUUAACAAUAACAACUGGACAAGAUAUCGGCCCAAUAAAAUGAACCAACAAUCCCUGUUGUCGGCUAAGAUUGUCACAUGGUAUAUUAGUAUCUCAUCCUUAAUAUUCAGCGGCCAUAUGAUUCUUUAAUUGAUUAUAGUUGUCAACCCACUACCAUUUACGGUCCAAUAGGAAUUAAGCAAUACAAAAGUUGUCCGCCGUUUAUAAAAGUUGAAUUGGCCCAACUAUUCACAAACAACACUAUAUCAUGACAGUUCAACAGUCCAUCAAGUAUGCGUCAAUUACAACACAAACAAUUAUAAGUAAGGUGUUAAGGGAGGAUCUUGAAGACCCGGGUUGUCACAAUAACUCCCGGUAUCCAAUAAGUUAACUAGGAAUAAUAAUAACCUAGUUAGAAGAGAAGUCUUGUAGUGACAUACUAGUGGGUUAAAAACCUUAUAACUAGGAAAAUAUAAAACUUUAUAUUAAAAUUAUAAAGUUUUAAAUAAACAAGGACAAACUAACUAGGACAAAUUAACCCAGUUAGUCUUGAGACUUGUAAAUUACUUACUAGAAGGUUAAAACACCUUAAAUAAAUAACUUAAUGAUAAUGGAGGGACUAAAGGUGUUAAAACUAAAACUAAUAAUAAUAAAAACAAGGUUUAAACACCAAACACAAUAAAAGAAGUGUGUCUGGUCGAUCUAAACAUCAGGAGCGAACAGGAGCUUCCCCACCAAACCCUAACUUGUGCAAAUUGAUCAAAUUGGGGCUUCAAAUCAGUUCCAAAUCGAUUUCCAAGCACGAAAUUGUCAUCUCCAUUGAAAGGGGAGUCAUAAGGUAUGUAAAUUUUAUGAAAAAUCUCUAGUUGGAUUUCUAGGUAAACUUAGAAAUCUGAAAUUGAUGGUUGCAUGUUCGUUAUAUGAUGAAAUUAGGAAUGAUUUUAUGUCUUGGAGUAAACCCUAGUCAUUUACUUGUUGAAUUGAUGUUCCUAAUUGUGAAUUCAUGAUCACCCGAUUAUGUGCUAAAUGGGUUUUGUAGAAACAUGAUGAACACUAGAAUCAUAAUGGUUAAAUUGUGUUAAUAGAACUCCCUGAAGUUAGAUUUGAAGUUUGAUGUUAGUACUUGUUAAUUUUGCUAGAAUUUAAGGGUUUAGAACACUUAAAUGGGCUGGAGAAAUUUGAUGUUUCGUGUUGCACACAAGGUGCUUGUUAAAAUGCUUGAACAAGAAAAUAUAACAAAGCUGAUUGGAAUAAAAAUUAUUGGGCUGCAGUUUUAAAAAAAAUCAUAUAAAAUUACUGGAACGGCCUGUGAGGUUGAGCCUUAUAUGCUCAGAAAGCUAUUAAAACAUACUACGUUUAAUGUUUGAACAUGUUUGUUAAAUUCUGAUGUUAAAUGGGUCAAAACAGUGUCCGAAGUAGGCUGAACUGUUUUGACAGCAAGCUGAUUGGAAAAAAAAAUUGUUGGGCUGCAGUUUUUAAAAAAUCAUAUAAAAUCACUGGAACAUCCUGUGAGGUUGAGCCUUAUAUGCUCAGAAAGCUAUUAAAACAUACUACGUUUUAUGUUUGAACAUGUUUGUUAAAUUCUGAUGUUAAACGGGUCAAAACAGUGUCCGAAGUCGGCUGAACUGUUUUGACAGCAAGCUGAUUGGAAGCAUUUUGACUUCUGAGCUGAUUUUUGCGAAAAUCAUAAUUAAUUAUAGGAAGCUCGGAUUGAGCUGAUUCUUUUUGGGUUGGAAAGAUAUUUUAGUAUUCUACAUUUCAUCUUUGAUCACCAAGGGCUGAAUAAAACCGUAAAGUGGUUAAAAGAGUCGAUUCCGCAGCUACAUUGUAAAGUUGCUACACAUUUUAUUGAUAAACUUAAUCUAAGAAAAUUGUAUACAAGAAAAGGAUGAAUUGUGAGAAAUGUGAUAAUGAUGGCAUUCUAAUAAAUUAACUUGAGGUAAUGUGUCUAACGUGGAAAUAUAAUUUGAUUGUAAGACUUGGUAAGAGUUAUGUCGUAGUAGCUUUUAUUCCAUACUUGAAUGGUGUGUUGUGUACCAUGUAUUUGCUUCAAACAAAUUUUAUGAAAUUGGGUGUAUUAAAGGCAUCUAAAAUACAUACAAAUGAUUUAUGCAAGUAAUAUGUACGUGUAUGCCAAACAUGUUCUAAGUUAGUGCUCAGUCACAUACACAAGGACAGUUUGACUUACGAAAGUCAAACUGGCCUAAAACUAAUGUCUUGAUAAAUGAGUAUGUGUGAAUCCAUGAGAUGUUGUGGUCAUUUUAUAUAAUGACUAAUCUAACAAAUCUUGUGGGUAUUGUGUUAAGUUUGAUCUCGUCAAACUAAGUGGGAGCUGGAAAGGAAUGGAUCAAACGGGUCAAGUGCGCAAGAAAAGCUCGAACGGACGCAAACUGUACAUUUUGGAUGUCGGAAGACGAUUAAGCUCAACGAAGAACCGAACACGAAUAAGAUAAAAGCUUCCGCACGUCGUUUUGUCGUAACUUUUAAACGACGAACUCAAUUAUGUUAUGUUGUAUUAUUUUAAAAUUGUAAAGUUUAAACAAACCCGUAUUUUUACAAAGUAUAUGUAGUCAUAAUUACAUGUUGUU